CACACACGCACACACACGCACAAAGUCUCCCAGGAUCAAUGUGCGUCUAGCAACUCAAUUCCCUCGCCGAAUUCUUGUCGGCCGAGACAGAGCUGCAUUAGUCCCGUUGCAGAGGAGCUGGUGUGCAAUCGCAUCAUGAAGUACGUGAAAAGGCUCGACCAGAGGAUGAAGGGGAGGAAGGAGCAGGUGACGAGGAGCAAAUACGGGCGGAUCAGCAAGAGGAACAAGGAAACGAUCAAAACGCCGUUCAUGAAGAGCCCUCAGCUUCGGUCCUUCAUGAUCAGGGACGGGAAUUAUGUGUCCCUGAAGGCGGCUUCUCCCCUUGACCUGUAGAAUCGCUUCUGUGGAGAUGAGAUCGGUCAACAUGGCGGCGGGAAGGGAUUUAUUUUUUAUCAUAUUGUAUGUGUAUUCUUGUUUUUCUUCUCCUUCGCGUCCUCUUUUCGUCUAAGGCGAGGGGGAUAUGACUUUAUUAUUUUUUUUUUUAUUACACUUGUAAACUUUUUUUCGUGUUAUUAAUUAUUUUGUAUUCUCUUGUCCCGAUCUGUUUUUUUUAAUGCAACUGCCUUGAUGGAUCCUCUAUCAAAGAAGAAAAAACUAUGCAUGUGGAAUAUAACUCCAUCUCAGUCUGAAACCUUCGCUCAAGCACAGACAAGCACUGCAAUCCCUUACUUGAGAUUCGUCAUAACUGAUCGACUUUUUUUUUUAGCGGUUCAGAACCCUAUGCACAAGGAACUUUAUCUUCGUUCCCUUAUUGUUUUCAAAUAAUGGCAAAGGAGGAUAAAGUUCUGAAGUAUAAAUAAGGUCCACCGGUCCUUGGUGAUAUUGUUAUAUGAUAUUAAUGGCAAGAACAUAUAUAAAGGACUAUGCUAACGAAAUCCAGAAGUUCAGUUAUCUAUUAAUAUUGCAUAAUUGGCAUUUUUUUCUCUUCAACUUCUCUUAAAAUAGAUAUAAAAACGACUAGACUGGCCGAUUCAAAAGCAAAUAUUAAAAAAUAACAAUCAGAGGGACUGACAGAUAAAAAAGAUAUAUAAUUAACUUUUCCAUGUCACUUUCCAUCAUUUAUUUACAUAAGCCUGAAAACACUUUUUUGAAACUAAGUUGAGUUAUUAUUUUCGAGACUAAAGUUAUUUGUAAACGUAUAAAUAAUCCUAUUGAUGUAUUUUGAUUUUCGCAAACUGCUUGUCCAAAACGGUAAUCGAGAGAUAUUGAUAUCUGACUCUGUUAUGAUUAUUUUCAAUGUGCACUGUAAUGAAUCUAUAAUAUUUUAUUUAUGAAAUCAAAUCCAAUAAAGCAUAUUAUGAUAA